GACGAACGCUGGCGGCGUGCCUAACACAUGCCAGUCGAACGGAAAGGCCCUGCUUUUGUGGGGUGCUCGAGUGGCGAACGGGUGAGUAACACGUGAGUAACCUGCCCUUGACUUUGGGAUAACUUCAGGAAACUGGGGCUAAUACCGGAUAGGAGCUCCUGCUGCAUGGUGGGGGUUGGAAAGUUUCGGCGGUUGGAGAUGGACUCGCGGCUUAUCAGCUUGUUGGUGGGGUAGUGGCUUACCAAGGCUUUGACGGGUAGCCGGCCUGAGAGGGUGACCGGCCACAUUGGGACUGAGAUACGGCCCAGACUCCUACGGGAGGCAGCAGUGGGGAAUAUUGCACAAUGGGCGGAAGCCUGAUGCAGCAACGCCGCGUGCGGGAUGACGGCCUUCGGGUUGUAAACCGCUUUCGCCUGUGACGAAGCGUGAGUGACGGUAAUGGGUAAAGAAGCACCGGCUAACUACGUG
rnacentral:rRNA from 1 species